CUAAUUGAUUUUCUGUAAGGCUGACUUGGCAGCCCAAAUAAUCAAAGAGCUUCACAGCUUAUGUGGCCUGAAGACUCAACUUGGACUUCUUUUGAUGGACCAGGAGGGACUUGCGUAGGUGGGAUAACACUCAACAUCCCUUUGCACGCAAUGUUUCCGUGACUGAGCAUGCUAUGCAAGCAAAAAAGGUGUAUUUGUCUUCAUGGACCAAGAGAAAGUCGCGUAGGUAGGUUAACAUUUGACUUCCCUAUGUACGUAAGGUCUUCGCGACCGAGCAUGCUAUGGGAGCAAAAAAGUUUAGUUGUCUUGGUGAAACAAGAUCAAGUCGUGUAGGUAAGCUAGCACUUCGACUUUGCACGCAAUGUCUCCGCGACCGAGCAUGCUAUGGAAGCAAAAAGGUGUAUUUGUCUUCAAGGACCAAGAGAAAGUCGCGUAGGUACGUUAACAUUUGACUUCCCUAUGUACGCAAGGUCUCCGCGACCGAGCAUGCUAUGGGAACAAAAACGUUUAUUUGUCUUGGUGAAACAAGAUUAAGUCGUGUAGGUAAGCUAGCACUCUACUUUGCACGCAAUGUCUCCGCGACCGAGCGACCGAGCACCCUACAUAAUGGAAAUUGACAUGCCAGCCCAGAUAAUCCAAAAUCUUCACGGCUUCUGCAGCCUGAAGUUUCAACUUGGAUUUGUCUUGGUCGACCAAAAGGAAGUCGUCUAGGAAGACUAGCACUCGAGUUCCUUUUGCACGCAAGGUCUCUGCGACCCAGCAUGUUAUGGAAGCAAAAAAGGUUAAUCCAAAAGCUUCACAGCUUCUGCAGCCUGAAGUUUCAACUUGGAUUUCUCUUGGUCGACCAAAAGGAAGUCGUCUAGUAGACACUAGCACUCGAGUUCCCUUUGCACGCAAGGUCUCUGCGACCCGCAUGUUAUAGAAGCAAAAAGGUGUGGCUCUGAAGCCAGACCGAAGGGUAGGCAUGUCAUUUCAUACUAACUCAUAAGAAGGUACCGAUUCCUUCCUGAAGGUACUGAUACUGGUACCUUGGUACUGAUCCUCAAGAA